UCUCUCUCAUAGCUCUUUGCGGUCAUGGCUAUUAAUCAAUUUCAAAACCUUUCUAUUUUUCUAUUAUUUUCUAGGCAACCAAACAGAGUUCUUGAGUAGGUUUUUUUUUUUUUUUUUUUUCCUGUUUUUUAUGAUUUUCGUUUUGAUUUCCUCAUCAAGAUCAUCGCCAUCAAAUUGAUUUCACCAAGCUGGUACUAUUACAUUCAGAUAUUCACACUUUUCCCUAUCCAAACCCUUCGAUUAGGUGCAUUUGCAUUGGUUAAGGACUUUAUCAGGAACAUGGAAGAAAGUUACAGGAAUUGCAAGCAGAGUUGUCUUCUUCCAAUGAAUUGCGGCAAAAGCAGGAACGAAAGGUGAGUUAUCUUCAGAAUGACAAUGCUUUACCCGAGAACAAGCAAAAGGAAUUGAAGGGAAUUAUACAAAGCUUACUUCAAUCAAAGGAAAGUUUUGUGAAUGCUUACGAGGUUUGUAAUCUGUAAUCCUCUAUAUAAGUUGUAAUAAUGAUGAUGAUGAUAAGAUUUUAUACAAAAAUUUUGAGACAUAUUGGCAGGACAUGGUCCUCACUGGCUGAUUUUAGCAUAAACCUUGAUUAUCUGUUGAAAGAUUGAUAUGUGUGUGUGUAUUCUUUUUCUUUUUUGGGGGGUAAUUAUAUCAUAAAACCCUAGAGUUUGACCUUGGUUCAGAUUAAAUAAAGUUCAAACAAACAUGGCAUAUUUCCUACAACCUCUGGAAACUUCUUUAGUCUUGAACAGCCAAAAAGAAUAAUAAUUUCAAGAGAUUCCAAGUUGAUCUUGUGAGGAAGGCUUUCAAGACACUUGUAACCAAACAGAUCUAAUCAAAUAAGCUGUUUGAGAUUUCCAAGAGAUGGAUCAAUCUUAGACAGUGAUUAGGGUUUUUUAGAGGUGGUGUUGCUGUGUUUUUGAGUGAGAGAAAAUUGUAGCCACAACUUGUAUUUCUUUUUCCCUGAUAAUAAUGAAAUCUUUGCAACUCUGUGAACGAAGGUAAAUUGCCAAACCGCAUAAAUAUUGUCUUGUGUGUUUGAUUGCUUUCUUUGGCAUGUGUUUUCUCUAUUUUUUGUUUCUCAUAGGUUGGGAUUUCAAUUAAAUUCCCUACACAAGUACACAAGUGUGUACACAAGAGUCACCAUGUUGUUACUGACUUCAGCUCCAUACCCUUUUUUGGACAAGAGAACCACCUUGUAUACUUAGUUUGGGACAAAAGCCAAGGCAAGGGCACAUGGGAGAAGAUGUUAGGUUGAUACCAGCCCUAACGAUGACAAACUCACCCGUUAAAGAAUUACACACAUAUAAUCGAUCCAAUUUCACAAAGUCGUGACGUUGAUACCGAUACAUCUCGCCUAGCAAAAUCAACCCAUUGCAUGAAUCCAACAGACUAAGUUUCACAUUACAUUCCGUACCUAAAUGGGUUUCAGUGGCAAACUUUACUAUAGAGUUACGCACAGAAUUUCUAUUGUCAAAAUGAACUGCGUAGAGAUGCUGUUAACGGUUUUUGUUUGUGGAUUGGAGGAUGAUGCAGGGGUCUGCUCUUGUGUGAUACAAUUGAGCGAGACUAGGGUCAACGAGAAGAUGUAGCCAUGUCUUGCAAACGCGCCUACAGCUGAACAGGGUAUUAAAGGGCAGCCGUGACAGAAUGUCUAUCACAAUAUUUGGGUGAAGCUGUGAGAAAAUGUCAGUGCCGCCGACUUUUUCAUCUGCUUUGGCCUUCUUCUUGGCCAUGCUGGUUGUUGGGUCGGAAUGGGAUUUGUUUUUUGUUCCCAUGGUGAAGGACUUUGGCAAUUGCAGUAAGCAAGACUUUUUAUAAUUUUUGGUUCUUGAUACAAAAAACUGAAAUUUCUCUUAUGCAUAAUCGCUACAGCCUUACAGCAAUACAUAUUUGUAUUUGAAUAGAACUAGUCCUGAAAAUAUCAACAAGUCUCUCAAUUUGUAAUUUUUUUAGGAAA